rnacentral:misc_RNA from 1 species
GAUGAAGAACGCAGCGAAAUGCGAUAAGUAAUGUGAAUUGCAGAAUUCAGUGAAUCAUCGAAUCUUUGAACGCACAUUGCGCCCCCUGGUAUUCCGGGGGGCAUGCCUGUCCGAGCGUCAUUGCAACCCUCAAGCUCAGCUUGGUGUUGGGCCCCGCCGCCCCGGCGGGCCCUAAAGUCAGUGGCGGUGCCGUCCGGCUCCGAGCGUAGUAAUUCUUCUCGCUCUGGAGGUCCGGUCGUGUGCUCGCCAGCAACCCCCAAUUUUUUUCAGGUUGACCUCGGAUCAGGUAGGGAUACCCGCUGAACUUAAGCAUAUCAAUAAGCGGAGGU